UCCAUGAUUUAGCUUUUAAAGCCUUCGGGCGCUGAGGGAUUGGGAUAUGCUCUAUUAGCUAGUUGGCGGGAUAAAAGCCCACCAAGGCAAUGAUAGAUAGCUGGUCUUAGAGGAUGAACAGCCACAAUGGGAUUGAGAUACGGCCCAUAUUCCUACGGGAAGCAGCAGUAGGGAAUCUUCCACAAUGGACGAAAGUCUGAUGGAGCAAUACCAUGUGAACGAUGAAGGCCUUUUUGGUUGUAAAGUUCUUUUACGAGGGAUAAUUAUGAUAGUACUUCGUGAAUAAGUGACAGCAAACUAUGUGCCAGCAGCUGCGGUAAUACAUAGGUCGCAAGCAUUAUUCGGAUUUAUUGGGCGUAAAGCAAGCGCAGGCGGAUGUGUAAGUUCUGUGUUAAAUGCAGCUACUCAAUAGUUGUAUGCACCGAAUACUACAUGUCUAGAUUGUGGUAGGGAGUUUCGGAAUUAAGCAUGGAGCGGUGGAAUGUGUAGAUAUGCUUAAGAACACCAGAGGCGAAGGCGGAAACUUAGGCCAUAAAUGACGCUUAGGCUUGAAAGUGUGGGGAGCAAAUGGGAUUAGAUACCCCAGUAGUCCACACCGUAAACGAUGGGUAUUAGAUAUUAGGGCUUUAGCUUUAGUGUUGUAGCUUACGCGUUAAAUACCCCGCCUGGGUAGUACAUAUGCAAAUAUGAAACUCAAAGGAAUUGACGGGGACCUGAACAAGUGGUGGAGCAUGUUGCUUAAUUCGAUAAUACACGAAAAACCUUACCAAGGUUUGACAUCCCUCGCAAAGCUAUAGAAAUAUAGUAGAGGUUAUCGAGGUGACAGGUGGUGCAUGGCUGUCGUCAGCUCGUGUCUUGAGAUGUUUGGUUAAGUCCCGCAACGAGCGCAACCCCACUCUUUAGUUACUUGUCUAAAGAGACUGCACAGUAAUGUAGAGGAAGGAUGGGAUCACGUCAAGUCAUCAUGCCCCUUAUGCCUUGGGCUGCAAACGUGCUACAAUGGCGAACACAAUGUGUUGCAAACCAGCGAUGGUAAGCUAAUCACCAAAUUUCGUCUCAGUUCGGAUAGGAGGCUGCAAUUCGCCUCCUUGAAG
rnacentral:rRNA from 1 species